AUAUUAUCUCCUCACAAAAUAAAAGUACAAGUACAAAAGCAGUUCUUGCAGGAUUUGUUGAGAAAUGUAAGGUUAAUCUUAUGGAGCCACGGUGGCUUUCUGGUGUAAGGGAGAUAACCCCACAAUAUGGGGGAUGGGAAGGAGACUUAUGACUGUCAACACAGCUUGUUCGCCAGCCUUUUCACCCAACCAACCCACCACAGGGCGAUCAUAUAGAUUGUCCUUUUAACGCACGUCCAAAUAUGCCGAGAAAUUAUUCGUUUUUCUGUUAAUACCUGAAGUAAAAUAUAGAUUACAACAGAUAAUAUAGAUCUAGUAGAAUAAUUAAAACCAACAUCGACUCAUAGUGCAACUGAUAUUUAGGAAAAGUAUGUAGUCAUCAGUAAACAGAGUAAUGUCAAAGUACUUUUAAAAUGUUAGAUCAACCCGGCAACGAUUAUGUCAAGUCUCACAUUUCCGGCACGUUUUGGUCAGUCACAAAUAACAAACAGCUGCUCGCUGGCCACUGCCGCGAACUUGCAUCUAUCUGUCAAGUUACGUCAUGUUGUGACGUCAUAUAUCGAGCACUGGGUCAUAACACGGCAGGUUUUCGGAGAGGCAGAAGUGCGGGGAACGUGAAUCUUGUAUGAGAUGUAAUGUCAGGAGGGAGGUGACUUGAAGACAGGGACCUAUCAACAAGCCGGGGAUGAAGCUGAACAACAUGGAGCCUCGAGUGACGUGGAGG